rnacentral:lncRNA from 1 species
UUUUCCAACAGUCAUGUGCUCUAGAGGCCAGUCUGAGCUCUUUCUGCUACUUUCCCAGAAAUAUCUUAAUUCUCUAGGUUUAAGACAAAGCUUUGUGACUUAGUAGUUGAGUAAGUUUGUGUAAUUUGUUUGAGGGCACUCAAAAUGUUGCUUAGUUUUCUUAGUUUUCUCUUGUAAAAUAAUAGGAUAAUAAUCCUUGUUUUGAUUAGUUUAUGCAACUUUUUCUGAGGAUUAAUGCCAAGACUUGUGAAAGUCCUCUGUAAACAGCAAAUCUUUAAUUAAACAUUAAAUGUCAAUAUAGUUAUAACCUUUUUGUUAUAGCUAUACAGAUAAAUUGGUUCCUUUUUAAAUUUUUUUUAAGGAGGCCGAUGCCUUGUCUAAUAGGUGAAUGGGGCUUUGUUUUUUUUUUUUUUUUUUUUUUUUUUUAACUUGGUACAGGAAGAAAUGAAAGAAAGGGGCAUUAAUAUAUACUGAAUAUCUGCUGUGUCAGGCGUUUUACAUAUAUUGAUUGCUUCUUUUUUUUUUUUUUUUCUUUUUUUCUUUUUCCCUUUUUGUGAAGAAUGAGGUCUCGCUAUAUUGCCCAGGCAGGUCUCGAACUCCUGGCUCAAGCUAUCCUCCCGCCUCUGCCUCCCUAAAAGCUGAGAUUACAGAUCAACAGAUUGAAAGAUUUGGUUGCAAAGGUCAGACACGGAGCAGAAGAUGGAAAGUGAACAAAGAGAACACACCUUUGAACGGCAGUGCAGGUGAUUGUUAUUUAAUGUUUCUUUCAGUCUGAGUUAGUUUAUAUAUACCUGCCUACAGAUGCUUUAACCAUUAACAUCAGUGCCCUCAAGGGUCUUUACAUGUACACAGUCUGAGGCCCAGAAAGGUAAGGUUACUUGUCUUGGCCCUGAGUCCAGGUGACUGUAAAGCCAGCCCUUGGUCUCAGGUCCCUAAGAGUAUGUCCACUGUGUCAAGAAAAAAAUGUUAAAAUGAGAUGAUCACAUGUACCAGAGAAGAGGAAUGGUCGUCAGUGAAUUAUAUUUCACAUCCAGACAUUGCUCUUUAACUUUAAAGUUCUACAAUUCUCAAAAAUUUAGGAGGCUCACUUGGUGCUAUAAGACUUAUUGACUAAAAAGAUUUUGAAAUCCUUAGAUAAAAGGUACUGCAUUAAAUAUUAAAAUAUUCUUAUUACAGAAUAGCUGCAUGAAGCUGGGAUGGGUUUGAAUUGGAUGUGCAUUGCCUGGUUAGUUGGCAGUCUGGUUAUUUGAGGAGAUUAUGUGUAUCUGUUGCAAUAGCAGGAACAGAGGGAAUGUUAGCCCUGGCACUAUAUUCUUAGAAUAAGCUCAAUCCAGACCUCUUCUCUCACUAAUUGUAAGUUUUACUUAUUUUCACUUUUAUUAAAUAUCUUUGUGUUUCAAGGUGAUAAUAUCAGAUCAGAGCACAUUAUAGUGAACAAAACACUCAGGUUGAUUAUUUCUUUCAAGAAUCUCAAAGUCUGUGAGGUAGACAGGUGGGUAUCACCACCUUCUCUUUAUGCGUAAGUACAGC